GAUGAACGCUGGCGGCGUGCCUAAUACAUGCAAGUCGAGCGAACGGACGAGAAGCUUGCUUUUCUGAUGUUAGCGGCGGACGGGUGAGUAACACGUGGAUAACCUACCUAUAAGACUGGGAUAACUUCGGGAAACCGGAGCUAAUACCGGAUAAUAUUUUGAACCGCAUGGUUCAAAAGUGAAAGACGGUCUUGCUGUCACUUAUAGAUGGAUCCGCGCUGCAUUAGCUAGUUGGUAAGGUAACGGCUUACCAAGGCAACGAUGCAUAGCCGACCUGAGAGGGUGGUCGGCCACACUGGAACUGAGACACGGUCCAGACUACUACGGGAGGCAGCAGUAGGGAAUCUUCCGCAAUGGGCGAAAGCCUGACGGAGCAACGCCGCGUGAGUGAUGAAGGUCUUCGGAUCGUAAAACUCUGUUAUUAGGGAAGAACAUAUGUGUAAGUAACUGUGCACAUCUUGACGGUACCUAAUCAGAAAGCCACGGCUAACUACGUG
rnacentral:rRNA from 1 species